AGUGAACGCUGGCGGCAGGCCUAACACAUGCAAGUCGAACGGCAGCACAGUAAGAGUUCGCUUCUACGGGUGGCGAGUGGCGGACGGGUGAGGAAUACAUCGGAUACCUCUUUUUCGUGGGGGAUAACGUAGGGAAACCUAUGAUAAUACCGCAUAUGUCCUACGGGUGAAAGCAGGGGUUCUACGCAGUUUUCGCGAUUGUAAUAGCCGAUGUCGGAUUAGCUAGUUGGCGGGGUAAAGGCCCACCAAGGCGACGCUCCGUAGCUGAUCUGAGAGGAUGAUCGGCCACACUGGAACUGAGACACGGUCCAGACUCCUACGGGAGGCAGCAGUGGGGAAUAUUAGGCAAUGGGCGCAAGCCUGAUCGAGCAAUACCGCGUGAGUGAUGAAGGCCUUCGGGUUGUAAAGCCCUGUUGUUAGGAAAGAAGAGCAGCGGGUUAAUCCCCGGCUAUUCUGACGGUACCCAAAGAAUAAGCACCGGCUAACUUCGUG
rnacentral:rRNA from 1 species